UACAGAGGUCCCGAGCGUUGUUCGGAUUCACUGGGCGUAAAGGGUGCGUAGGUGGUGAGGUAAGUCGGAUGUGAAAUCCCUCGGCUUAACCGGGGAACUGCGUCUGAUACUGGAUGGCUUGAGAUUGGGAGAGGGAUGCGGAAUUCCAGGUGUAGCGGUGAAAUGCGUAGAUAUCUGGAGGAACACCGGUGGCGAAGGCGGCAUCCUGGACCAACACUGACGCUGAGGAGCGAAAGCCAGGGGAGCAAACGGG
rnacentral:rRNA from 1 species